rnacentral:rRNA from 1 species
UAUGCCUACGGGGCGCAGCAGUGGGGGAUAUUGCACAAUGGGGGAAACCCUGAUGCAGCGACACCGCGUGGGUGAAGAAGCGCUUCGGCGUGUAAAGCCCUAUCAGUGGGGAAGGAAAAGGACGGUACCCAAAGAAGAAGCACCGGCUAAAUACGUGCCAGCAGCCGCGGUAAUACGUAUGGUGCAAGCGUUAUCCGGAUUUACUGGGUGUAAAGGGAGCGUAGGCGGCGAUGCAAGUCAGAAGUGAAAGCCCGGGGCUCAACUCCGGGACUGCUUUUGAAACUGUGUUGCUAGAUUGCAG